AGAGAAGAGGGUUUGUAAUGUGCUUGGGCUCGCGUCCAACUGAGCAGGUGCAGUUGGAAGGAAACAGGCUGCAGUUCUGGGACAGCCACAAGGGUUUAGUUUUAAAGACCUGCGGUCCCAGCACCCGAUUUAACCUAUGAAUUCUUUGAUGCUGCUUAAGACCAGAAGACUGGUGAAAGGUUUUGCCACAUUCGCCACACUUGUAACGUUUCUCUGCCGUAUGAAUUCUUUGGUGUUUCGAACGUGCUGUAUCUCUGACCUCCGCCUCUAUCCUGUGAGCCCCUAAUUCCAACAAACCUGGGUGCACGGCAGCUGCUGCUUGUCUCUUCACCUCCGAAGGCUCUUGUCUUUGCUCCAGAAAUGUCACGAGGUAUGGCUUACAGGAAGCAAGACCUGUUUGUGGAAAGGGGGAACAACACUGUCAGUGUGUUCUCCUGGAAAAGAAUGUGUCCUGCUCACCCAUGUGUGUAAAGAAUGAGAAGCUGCAGUAAAAGACUGUAGAAGACCAGUUCUUGUUUCCUGACAAGAACAGCUGAAUGCUUCAGAGGAAUUUACGAUAUACAGGCCCUGAGCUUCACUCCACCCAUUUAAGGAAAGACAUUAAAACUGAAGAGUGUGACAUUCUCUACAACACAUAUGGCCCUGCUCCUGCCUCUUAACUUCUACACUACCACUGAUGUGGAAGAUACUUGUAACAAAACAAAAUUUUUAAAAAGGUCACAAGCACAAGGAAACAAGAUAGUUCUAAGGUAAAAGAAUAAUCUCAAUUCUCCUUAAAUGUAGCCCAAUGAACCUCAUUGUUGGAAGCACAAGUUUCUAUAUGAUGGUGUACAAUGGGAGCAAGUUUUAUAUUGACAAUAAAUUAAAAAUUCACCAUGGAAGUAUUCCUCACCCAGGAACUCAAGGUUGCUGAAAUUCUCCAGCAUCACAUCCCUGUACAAAUUCCACUGAGUGGGGCCUAGGCAUUCCCACUCUUGUGCCGAGAAAUAAAUGGCUACAUCCCAGAAUGACAGCAGAUCCUGAAAUAAAGAAAACAAAUGAACACUGCACAUUAUGUUAAUUAAGACUGUCAAUAAUAACACAAAUACCAAGAGGCAUCAUGUACUUCUCUGUACAAAUCUAAAGGUCACCCAGCAUGAGUGGAGAGCUGGAGGUGUUUCUGACAUAGGGAGGUAAAGAUCCCUAAAAUAGUUCUGAGGUGGUGCUAGGAUGCUACAGAAGACUCAUCAUUAAGAAAAAUAAAUGGCAGAAGAACCCAGAAAGUAGUUUUAAGGAUCAUAAAAUGGAGAACAAAUGCAUCUGCAAAACAGAAUUUGGAUCAGUGUGUUAGCACACGCCUUCAAUCCCAGCACUUGGGAUUUAGGCCAGCCUGGUCUACAAAGAGAGUUUCAGGACUGCUAGGGCUGUUACACAGAGGAACUCUUAAAGACCAAAAACCAAAAACCAAAAAUCAAACUCAAAACAAGAGGUUAAUUCCCAGCACACACAUGGCAGCUCAUAACUGUCUGUAAGUCCAGUUGUAGAAGAUAAAUUUGUUAGACAUGCAUAGUAGUAAAACAACCAUACACAUAAAAUAAAUAGUCCUUACCCUGGUGACUAAGAAUUCAGAUAUAUGAGCCUAUGGGACGAUUCUUAUUUAUUCUACCACAAUCAUCAUGGCUGCCUUGACAAAAGGAUCCUAGAUAUGUACAAGUCUAUUCAUAAAUCUUAAUAAUUUUUACUAAGGGCAAAUUCAGAGAAACAAACAAUAUGAAAUCAAAUAACUAUACUUACAACAGAUUACAAUGUCUGUUUUCCACAAAAUAGAGAGGAAUAUGAAAAUGUAAAUAGAAUGGAUCCUAUCAAUCAGAGUGAGGUCUGUUGGCUGCUUUAUAGUAAGCCUGAGAAUAUUCCAGAACACAUCCCUGAAUAUUUCUUAUAGUUCUUACUUCGGAGCUAUGUUCUUCCACUGCAUUUUUAGAAGCCACAAUUGUUUCUUGUGUCACUGCCAGCCAGCAUGAGCCCCUCAUAGCUACUUUUCUCCUUCUUCAUUGUAGGUAGUUCCUUACAUUUUUUAGUUGUUGUUUUUGGUUUUGUUUUGUUUUUUGCAGCUGUCCACUUGAGUUUCUGGAAAAUUUCACAAUCUUUCUCCUUUCUUCAGCAUUGUAAAGACAUGGCCUCUUGUAGAGACAUAUGUUCUUCUAAAUACUCUCCGUUUCCAUGACAUUGUGCCAAAGACUGAGAGCUGAAUGGAUUUCCUAACUCAUGCACAUAAAGCUUAUUGAUCCACCCAAAGGGAUAGAAAGAUAACACUGUCAUAUCCUAAGAUUCCAUAAAGAUACAACCAUUCCCCAUGGAAAUGCGGGGCACCUAUGCCUCCCUGAGGAUGAGAUGUGCCAGAACAAACCUUUGUGAGAAACCCACAGACUGCUGAUUAGUGUCAGCACAGCAGAAGGUGGCAAUCCAAAGAAGAGUGAAAAAGGGGCUGGGAACACAGCAUAGUGCAGACAUUCUUGCUUAGAUGCAGAAGGCCUGGGUUCGAUUCCCAGCAAGAAGAGGUGGACAGAAGGAAAAGUCACGGUGCCAUGCUAGCUCAUGCCCACUCAUGUGUGGACUAGCAAGGCAGGAUUUGCUGGAUACUCUACAAUUUUCUGGCUCCUUCCUCAGGAUAUUAAGAGUAGAGAAGACAUUUAAUUUCUGUCUCAUUUCAGCAUAAUCAAGGGCCAAAUUCUUUCUUGCCUCCAUCAGAAAGCCAAUGGGAAAGACAUGCCAUCUUGAAUGGCCAAUGAGAAGAGGCUACAGUCCAAGAGACAAAUUCCUACAAGAUGGUAGAGAAGCCACUGAAAUCCUAGCUGGAGGGAUCACUGUGAUUCUUAAAUCCUAAUGUCAAUAAGCAUUGUAAGGCCUAUGAAUAGAAAAUAUGGACAAGCAAUAGAAAAAAAAAAAAGAAAGAAAAACAACGAAACUACAAAUAUGCUCUGAACAUAAGGUCUAUGGUAAUGGUCUGAAUGAAAAUUCAGGAAAG